rfam:Brome mosaic virus (BMV) RNA2
ACUUUGGCUAAGUUUAAAAGCUU